rnacentral:rRNA from 1 species
UACGAAGGGGGCUAGCGUUGCUCGGAAUCACUGGGCGUAAAGGGUGCGUAGGCGGGUCUUUAAGUCAGGGGUGAAAUCCUGGAGCUCAACUCCAGAACUGCCUUUGAUACUGAAGAUCUUGAGUCCGGGAGAGGUGAGUGGAACUGCGAGUGUAGAGGUGAAAUUCGUAGAUAUUCGCAAGAACACCAGUGGCGAAGGCGGCUCACUGGCCCGGUACUGACGCUGAGGUGCGAAAGCGUGGGGAGCGAUCCGG